rnacentral:rRNA from 1 species
GACGAACGCUUGCGGGCGUGCCUAAGAAAUGCAAGUCGAGCGAGGUUUAGGCUUCGGCCGACGACCUAGCGGCGAACGGUCGCGUAACACGUAAGCAACCUGCCCUAAAGUUGGGGAUAGCCCGCCGAAAGGCGGAUUAAUACCGAAUGUGGAUAUGAUUUCGCAUGUGAUUAUAUCUGAAGCAGCGAUGCGCUUUAGGAUGGGCUUGCGGCCUAUCAGUUAGUUGGUGUGGGUAACGGCCUACCAAGACGACGACGGGUAGCUGGUCUGAGAGGAUGGUCAGCCGGAUUGGGACUGAGACACGGCCCAGACUCCUACGGGGGGCAGCAAUUGGGAAUCUUGCGCAAUGGGCGAAAGCCUGACGCAGCGACGCCGCGUGACUGAUGAAGUCUUUCGAGAUGUAAAGGUCUUUUGUUGGGGACGAAGGAAGUGACGGUACCCGACGAAUAAGCCCCGGCUAACUACGUG